ACGAACGCUGGCGGCGUGCUUAACGCAUGCAAGUCGAACGGAAAGGCCCUGCUUUUGUGGGGUGCUCGAGUGGCGAACGGGUGAGCAACACGUGAGUAACCUGCCCUUGACUUUGGGAUAACUUCAGGAAACUGGGGCUAAUACCGGAUAGGAGCUCCUGCUGCAUGGUGGGGGUUGGAAAGUUUCGGCGGUUGGGGAUGGACUCGCGGCUUAUCAGCUUGUUGGUGGGGUAGUGGCUUACCAAGGCUUUGACGGGUAGCCGGCCUGAGAGGGUGACCGGCCACAUUGGGACUGAGAUACGGCCCAGACUCCUACGGGAGGCAGCAGUGGGGAAUAUUGCACAAUGGGCGGAAGCCUGAUGCAGCAACGCCGCGUGCGGGAUGACGGCCUUCGGGUUGUAAACCGCUUUCGCCUGUGACGAAGCGUGAGUGACGGUAAUGGGUAAAGAAGCACCGGCUAACUACGUG
rnacentral:rRNA from 1 species